GGGGGCGCGCGGAGAGCUGCCGGAGCAGAGCGGAGCGCAGGCAUCUUCCGCAAUCCAUUCAUGCACUGAAGCGCGUGCAGAGCUGCUGCUCGCUGCCAUUGUUACUCGCGGGCGGUGUGGGAGCCGAGCCUCCACUCUGGCGAGAUAAAUGGCCUCUGACAGCCCCUCCUCGCCAAGAGAGCUCCUCGGAUUUCACAGCGCAGCGGCUCUCAGGGGUGAGGAGAGGAACGCUUUAUUGGAAGUCAGGCCACGUGAAGACGCCUGUGUUGUGCAAUAGCAAUUUCCAUUAGCCUGGAUUUAUCAGCCUCCUGAAACUCCCACACAUCUCCUUUGGGCACCUUGUGCCACCUCCCUGCCCCCUCUGGGUCUCAGCUCCUGUCCCUGUUAACAGGUACUGGAUAAGCAAAGGCCUCUGGAGCCUACCUAUUAGGCUAGAGAACAUGGCUGUUGACUAAACAGAAG
ensembl:lncRNA